GAAGAAGAAGACUACUUCCGUUCUGGAUCUCUUUCACCGGCACCGUGGUAGAGUAGAGCUGCUGUGCUUCAGCUCAUCAGCAUGCCGUCUGUAAUUAUCUCACUUUUCUGUCUAAUUCUGGAGUUGACUGCCGAAGAUCCGCCGUGAGCAGGAAGCUUUGGCUGAUCUGAAAUGAGGCUAAUCUUCGUGCCAAUAAAGACGAUGUUCUUCAUCGCAAUGAAAGGUUCUUCCGUCUCACUUGACACUGACUGAGAAUGAGGCCGGCUGCUGAAAAGCAGGUGUUGAGAAUCUGCAAAGAACGACUAAGAUGAAACAUUGGUGCAGAGGAAAGUUGAUCAGGUGAAAUCAGUGGGGAAUUGGACACAGCACUAGUAUGGGAUUGAUCCGGAAGUCUUAUGUCACCGGAUAAGAAAUGUACAAGUUACCAUGUUUGAUCUAAAACCUCUUUAAUGAAAGCUGUAUAAAAAUUCAAGUAUGACACAUUUAAAGUAACAAAUCUUAAUGCGAGCACCCAGCAUGUCACGGUCAAUCUGUGUUGAAAGUUGUUCUGUAAGAUCUCUUCUUCAAAUUCUCUAAGAAGAUCUUCUCCUCUUCGAGGAAUUCACGGUCCUGUGGGGAGGAAGAGGAAGUUAUUGGGAAAAGAAACUUUAAAGUGCUUCAAGAAAAUUGUUAAUCUAUCAUUGCAGCUAAUCAAAUGUGAUUGUGAGCCAUAACCAGUUAUAAAAACCCUGUUUCAGUUUCUGAUUGACAUUGAAUAAAAACAGUAACUAUCU